CUGGAGUUAAGACGUGUGCCUCCUGACCUGCUCCGUUUCCGACCUGGGCCAGUUCACCCCUCCUUAGGCAACCUGGUGUUCCUCCGCUCCCGGGAGGUCACCAUAUUGAUGCUGAACUUAGUGCGGACACCCGAUCGGCAUAGCGCACUGCAGCCCAGAACCCCUGGACUCAAGCAGUCCUCCGGGCUCAGCCUUCCGAGUAGCUGGGAUUACAGGCGCCC